AUUGAACGCUGGCGGCAGGCCUAACACAUGCAAGUCGAGCGGAUGAAGGGAGCUUGCUCCUGGAUUCAGCGGCGGACGGGUGAGUAAUGCCUAGGAAUCUGCCUGGUAUUGGGGGAUAACGUCCGGAAACGGGCGCUAAUACCGCAUACGUCCUGAUGGAGAAAGUGGGGGAUCUUCGGACCUCACGCUAUCAGAUGAGCCUAGGUCGGAUUAGCUAGUUGGUGGGGUAAAGGCCUACCAAGGCGACGAUCCGUAACUGGUCUGAGAGGAUGAUCAGUCACACUGGAAGUGAGACAAGGUCCAGACUCCUACGGGAGGCAGCAGUGGGGAAUAUUGGACAAUGGGCGAAAGCCUGAUCCAGCCAUGCCGCGUGUGUGAAGAAGGUCUUCGGAUUGUAAAGAACUUUAAGUUGGGAGGAAGGGCAGUAAGUUAAUACGUUGCUGUUUUGACGUUACCAACAGAAUAAGCACCGGCUAACUUCGUG
rnacentral:rRNA from 1 species